AUGACGCUAUGGGGAGAGACCAGAUGAAUGAGGUCGCCGAAGGAGCAAACGAACAGUGAAUCUCUCAGGCAAACAGGACUCAUAGUGGACG
rnacentral:ncRNA from 2 species